rnacentral:lncRNA from 1 species
CGUCUCUAGUCAAGCACUAAGACUUCGGAGUAUGAGUAAGAACUCCACUGAGCCUGCUGGUGUAAUUAAAGGUUUUUCUCCACCUUUUUGAGUGACCUUUGGGUUCUCGAGUCUUCAAACUGAGGUAGCUGGGAUGCUGAGCUGUAACACUCAGCUGUGCCUCAGAGCUGUAACGCUUGGGUAUAGCACCGAGCUUUUCUGCUUUGCCUCAAGUCAGUCUGGACAAGAGUCAAGGUAUUUUUUUGUUUUGUUUUGUUUUGUUUUUGUUUUGUGAUACCGGGGAUCAACUCAGGACCUUGCACUUUUGAGGCAGGUGCGGCACCACUGAGCUAAAUCCUCAGCAAGAGUCCAGGGCAUGAUCAUGCUGGAUGACAUAAAGGAGUGGACAGACAGCUCUGUAAGAAUCUGCAGGAGGGUGGUUCUUGUGUGAAUGUUGUAGAUUUCUGAAAUGGUAAAAAAAAAAAAUACUAAUAUUCUGAAUAAAACAAAGUUCAAUCUUCCUUCUACCCCAAAAAUCUUUCUUGAAAUAUUCAAUAUUUAUUUGGAAUAAGCAAAGAAUACUGUAUGUCUGUAUAUCAGGAGAGUGAGGCUCUGGUUCCAGUUAAUUAUGCAUUGAAUUUGGGAUUGUCUUGUUCAUCAUCACCUAUUUAGAAGCCUUAGCACUUGUCUCAAAAAAGGUCAGUGUACCCCUGCCCCCACCACUUAUGACCACUCCAAACUAUCCCUCCACUCUCUUUAGGGCCAACACUAUCUCCAUUAAGAACCACUGCCUUACAUCCAUCACAAUCCACUAUUAGAACAGGGGGUUUUUUUGGUACCAGGGAAUGGAACUCGGGACCUUGUGUUUUGUGAAGCAGGGGGCCGAACCACUGGGCUAAAUCCCUGGCCCCUAUUAGAACAGUUUUAAAGAGUGAGAAGAUAGAAUCUUCUAUCACACAAUCUUAUAAACCCUUACAUCUGUAUUAUUUGCAUAUCAAUACAUUCUAAGUGCUUUUUGGAAUGCUUUAGGCAUUCUAUUGUAAAGAGCUUUUCUCCUAACUUUGGAAAAACACUCCAGUGUCAAAAUGAAGUCCAAUAAUGUGUCCUAGUAGUGAACAAAGCUGGAAAUAAGAAAGACAAGCCACAGUGAAAGAGAACGUACUGCUUAUGACUAUGAUAAAAAGGAAUGAAACAGCAAGGCACCAUAGUUUUUGCCAUUGCUAGGGUAAAAAGAUGAUUCUGACCACAUGAUCUAGAGGAGUCCGUAUCAAACAUUAAGGCUUGAUUCAAGGACAUAGUGGAGGGAUAAGUAGCAGAGCCAGCACCUAGUUCUGAACCAGCUUGAGUGAUAGAUAGGACUUAAGGCAAUGAGGAUUUGGAAUGGGCAUGCCUCUCCUACAUUUAUGGAAGCUCCCCUGUUUAACUCCUGUGACUCGAAAUCCCUGUUGUCGGCCAAUGUAACUUGAUUCCAGAUGGAUAAUGUGAUAGAUGGGGAGCACAGGUGAUGGGCUCUGAGAAGGAGAAAGUCAUGGGUGUGAUGGGCCUGGAUUUCUAAGUGAUCAAGGUACAGCCUUACCCUCAAUCAUUUAGGGAGAAAAAUCUUGUUAUCAAAUUAAAAAAUUAAAACAUGCACAGUUAUCUAAGGGACUUUCACGCACUACAGUUUGGAGAGUUAAUUGACACAUUGUGGGAAGAUGAUUUGGAAAUGAAAAAAAU